GACGAACGCUGGCGGCGUGCUUAACACAUGCAAGUCGAACGCUGAAGCACCAGCUUGCUGGUGUGGAUGAGUGGCGAACGGGUGAGUAAUACGUGAGUAACCUGCCCUUGACUCUGGGAUAAGCCCGGGAAACUGGGUCUAAUACUGGAUGCUACAUGUCACCGCAUGGUGGUGUGUGGAAAGGGUUUACUGGUCUUGGAUGGGUUCACGGCCUAUCAGCUUGUUGGUGAGGUAAUGGCUCACCAAGGCGACGACGGUGAGCCGGCCUGAGAGGGUGACCGGCCACACUGGGACUGAGACACGGCCCAGACUCCUACGGGAGGCAGCAGUGGGGAAUAUUGCACAAUGGGCGAAAGCCUGAUGCAGCGACGCCGCGUGAGGGAUGACGGCCUUCGGGUUGUAAACCUCUUUCAGCAGGGAAGAAGCCACAAGUGACGGUACCUGCAGAAGAAGCGCCGGCUAACUACGUGCCAGCCGCCGCGGUAACAC
rnacentral:rRNA from 1 species